CUUAAACUCAUCGGAAGAAGGCGAAGGAGGUAAUCGAGCUCCAACACAUGUGGGUGAUUAAUGAGGUAUGUGCUUUACUUGAUCAUUAUCUGCCCGGAGUUUAUGAAACUUGAUGAUGGUGAUGGUACACAGUAGUGUUAGAGUUUGAGUUGAGAUUGUAGUGUUGUGUGUUGUUGAAAAUUGUACUUCAGAUAUGGUUUUGUAAGAUUAUUUCUCCUUCUUUCUGAUAGAUAUCACUUGUAGUACUAUGAAAGUUGAAGUUGGUGGAGGUAUUGAUUCUACAACCAUUAUCCUUAUAUGUUUGUUGCUGAUGGUUUUAUGACGCUGAUGAUAGUUAGACAUCAUUUCUUUUAUGGUGAUAAUUAAUGAUCAGUUGAGUUUGAAUACUAGCUUCCUACAAAACCCCUGAGUUUUGGUCUCCUUCCGUCGUAGUUGAUGUAGGCAUUGCAUGUUUUGUUGCUGCUAGUUGUGUGCAUAGUUUUUAGAGUGAGAUUGGGAAAAAAAUAUGAAAAGGAGAGUUGCAAAAUUUAUAAGCUUUUAUUUGUAUUUUAAUCUAUGGAAGAUUUUCAGAGACGACUUCCUAGCACACAGACUUAAAAAGCAAGUAGAUGGGCUUUAAUUGUCAUUCAAGGUAGGCUUGUAUCUUCAUAAUUGUAUGGUAUACUAUUAUUUAUGGGACUUUUAAGAUUUUCUGUUGGUUAUACUCUUCCAUCCCAGUGCCAAGGAUAUGAUGGACCUUUGAAAUGGUUUGUGUUGGCGAUUUUGUGAGUCGAACAAAACAUAAUGUCUUAUUUGACUUUUAUUUUAUUUAAAUACAACUUAAUUAAGUUAGUUUUCUUUGCUUAACGCACAAAUGCUGUUGUCUAUCCUUUAAUACCUGCUCAUUUCCAUGUUAGUCUAUCCUGCUCAUUGCCAUGUUAUUCAUAGGUUUAUUGAUCUGGCCUUGCUUUAUAUUUGUUGUUUAUGUUUUAGUCCAGAUCUGAAUUGCACCUAAAGGAUCCUUGCUAUUUGAGCCUUUUUUGGUUUCAAUAAUUUCAUCUAGAUGGCCGAACUUCCUCUGCCCAUGUUAUGUUUUCUUCUCGGGAUCGGUUCAACAUCAAAGUGGUUUACAACAAGUAAUGGCUGUUGGAUGUUGAUGCAAUCAUAACUUAGGAAGGUGUUCCAAUUGUCAACCAAUUUAUUGUUGUAGCCUGGGAGGUCAAUGGCUUCAGGUAGCUUCUAAAACAAGUAUAACUGCUGGUGUCUCACCAUCACUGAAUCCUCCUCCUUGGACAGGGGUUGUGCCUUAGGCAGUGUAUUUAUUAGUGCUUGAGAAGAAAUUAGUUCAUCCUCUACUACAUAAGUCUUUUAAGCUGCAAGUCAAAUGCGUCUAGCAGAAAGCAGAGGCGAAUCAUGAUUUCAACAACUUAAAUUGAAGAUGCGCGACUUCCAGGAUAUUGGGAUCCCUAUACCUUCGUAUAGCUAUUGUUUUUUGAACGAACUUCAGGAAAUGAGCAGAUGCAAGUGUUUAUAUUGAUUUUAGAAAGGGAAAUCCAGAAUGCGAUGAUGAAACUAUGGAAACUGCGAUACAGAUGGAGUACUUGGAGAUAAUUUAGUAGGUGGCCAAAAACUUUGAUAAAUCAUACAAGAAUCUACCUAAUUGGACUGGCAGGAUUAGUUGAUAAGUUUAAUAAAUUGAAUUCCGUAUUAAUGUUUUGGAUGUUUAUCCUUUUUUGUGUAUGUGAGUUUGGGAUGUUAAUGUAAACCUGAAUCCAUAUUUGAAAUAAAAUUAAGGUAUAUUAACUU